GAUGAACGCUGGCGGCGUGCUUAACACAUGCAAGUCGAACGAAGCACCUUAUUCUGAUUUCUUCGGAAUGAAAAAUUUGGUGACUGAGUGGCGGACGGGUGAGUAACGCGUGGGUAACCUGCCUCAUACAGGGGGAUAACAGUUAGAAAUGACUGCUAAUACCGCAUAAGACCACAGCACCGCAUGGUGCAGGGGUAAAAACUCCGGUGGUAUGAGAUGGACCCGCGUCUGAUUAGGUAGUUGGUGGGGUAACGGCCUACCAAGCCGACGAUCAGUAGCCGACCUGAGAGGGUGACCGGCCACAUUGGGACUGAGACACGGCCCAAACUCCUACGGGAGGCAGCAGUGGGGAAUAUUGCACAAUGGGGGAAACCCUGAUGCAGCGACGCCGCGUGAGCGAUGAAGUAUUUCGGUAUGUAAAGCUCUAUCAGCAGGGAAGAAAAUGACGGUACCUGA
rnacentral:rRNA from 1 species